AGCCGGUUAGCUCAGUUGGUUAGAUCACGGUGCUAACAACGCCAAGGUCGUGGGUUUGAACCCCGUACUGGCCA